GGAGAUUAGUGAUACGGUGGUGCCUUCUUCACAACAGUUUGAACCAUCUGAAAAUGGAUGUAUAGGGAACACCAACGAGCUUAUUGAACAGAAUUUGCAAUGUUUAGAUCAGAUUUCUGCAAAUUUCAGAACCCCAAGGUUCAUGGACAACAUAGAGCUUUUCUACAAAAUCCGGAAGAACAUCAAUACCGUUAUCGCCAAUUUGAAAGAGAAUAUGUCGGAGACAAUGAAACGUAUGCCAUCAUUGCCGGAGAAGUUGAACGAGGACCUCUUAACUGCAAUGUUUCCUACAUCAAAUCUACCACCAUUAUGAUUGAAUUUGGUUCUUCUUUGGUUUUCUGUUGAUUCUUUCAGUUAUUAGGUUUUUUUUUUCUUUUCUUCUUGUUACCAACUUGGAACACAAGCUUUUAGACUUUUGUUAUCAGUUGAUUUAUUAAUCUAAUUAC